GCUAGCCCCAUGGAUACAUCGAAGUUGGCCACAGAGACUGAGCCUUCCCUCGGUAAUGUUUUAACCACCAUAAGGAACCUGGACAACAAGAUGAAUCCAUUCCACAAGCAAGAAAGCAUUUCAGGACGGAGCGUGUGUCUGGAAGCCCUGUCCGUCAGCAGAUGUUACUUGCCUCCACCACUUGCAUAUGAGUUAAC